GGACGAACGCUGGCGGCGUGCUUAACACAUGCAAGUCGAGCGGUAAGGCCUUUCGGGGUACACGAGCGGCGAACGGGUGAGUAACACGUGGGUGAUCUGCCCUGCACUUCGGGAUAAGCCUGGGAAACUGGGUCUAAUACCGGAUAUGACCUCCUAUCGCAUGGUGGGUGGUGGAAAGAUUUAUCGGUGCAGGAUGGGCCCGCGGCCUAUCAGCUUGUUGGUGGGGUAAUGGCCUACCAAGGCGACGACGGGUAGCCGACCUGAGAGGGUGACCGGCCACACUGGGACUGAGACACGGCCCAGACUCCUACGGGAGGCAGCAGUGGGGAAUAUUGCACAAUGGGCGAAAGCCUGAUGCAACGACGCCGCGUGAGGGAUGACGGCCUUCGGGUUGUAAACCUCUUUCAGCAGGGACGAAGCGCAAGUGACGGUACCUGCAGAAGAAGCACCGGCUAACUACGUGCCAGCAGCCGCGGUAAUACGUAGGGUGCAAGCGUUGUCCGGAAUUACUGGGCGUAAAGAGUUCGUAGGCGGUUUGUCGCGUCGUUUGUGAAAACCAGCAGCUCAACUGCUGGCUUGCAGGCGAUACGGGCAGACUUGAGUACUGCAGGGGAGACUGGAAUUCCUGGUGUAGCGGUGAAAUGCGCAGAUAUCAGGAGGAACACCGGUGGCGAAGGCGGGUCUCUGGGCAGUAACUGACGCUGAGGAACGAAAGCGUGGGUAGCGAACAG
rnacentral:rRNA from 1 species